GGAGGCUGAGGAGUGUGAUCCCCCUAUAGUUGGAUUUACACUGAUGAGUCAAAAUGUUAAGAUCAACACUGAUGUGCUAGACCACUGUCAGUAGGCGCUCACCACUGCUGACCAGGACCAGGUUCUAAACCCUGGCCAGAGGCACUCAGGUCUGCACAUGGACUCUGGAUCUCAAUUUGUGCUGCAGAAUUGUUCAAUAUGAAGGAGGAGUACAGAGAUCCCCCCUUUCAUGAAAGGGGAAGGAAGAGUAAAAGGAGCCCCUUUUUGAUAUGAGCCUCCCUGAGGGGCUCUCCUGCUACUAAAGAAUGUUAGAAGUUCAAGUUCCAGCCAGUAGCCCUUGAAAGCUGACCUGGUCUGCCACAUGUCCUCUGUCACCAGCCAGCAAGGACAAGGGCAGGCAGGCUGGGCAAAAUCAGCCAGUGCAUGAAGAAUCUACCUGACCUGAGGUUCAGAGGGUCCUAACAGACCAGGACACCUCUGGAGUACACCUCUAAAUAUCAGCACAGAGUGGAGUAUGUGCAGAUAUUGCUGAAUGGGCAAGGAGCUGUGGUGAGGAGCAGCUAGGAUGGCACAGUGAUGGGCCUCACCUGUAAUGGCAUAUCUCAGCCACUCCUUAUCGAUCAGCUCUGCCCCAGAACACUCGUCUAGGCUCCGGGCAGUGGGCUGAGGGGGCGGGGCCCUGGAUCCCAUUGCCACAGUGCCCUUGGUGAAGGCCGGUGUCCAGUGACAAGAAGCACAGUGGAGUGAGAGAGUGGAGGGGAGCUGCUUUGAUGGAGGUACAGUACACACAGAAUGUCAUCAGUGGAGCAGGAAAUACCCACUUCUUUGUGUUGAAGUACAUUUGUGGCAUGCAGCAUGUUCAUUCUGUAAGUUUCUCUACAUUAAUAUAAUUGUAAUAAUAGUCUUAAACAGCCACUCUACAUAUUUUGCACUUUCAUAAAACCGAGGGACUCCUGAGAAACAUAUUCAAAGAGGAGUGGCAAAAUUGAUAUCCUGACUUUUAGUUCCUAGCAAUUAAAAAAAAAACUUGAUCCUACAAUUCACAUAAUCCAACUGGAAACCAUGUUUUAUUAGACCCUCUCUGAUAAAUGUCUUUCAAACUCAGUUCCCCAGUUUUUAAAGUAGAAUUUGUUUCAUUCAUUGAGGAAGGCCAUUAGUCCCACUGCUCCACUGAGCAUUUUCCAAGUGUGAAUGUGUGUAACUGUGCAAAUGUGAACAAAGUGUUCAUGUAAAAAAGAGAGGUUGCUUUCAGUAAGCUACCCCAAAUAAAUAAAAGCUAACAAAUGGUAAAAUUGGAGCAGUCAUAAACCCUAAUUUAAUCCACCAACAAGCCAAUUGUUGUUAUUUUAAACAUGAUCCUAAAUUACUAGACUUAUUUGAGCCACUAUUUCUAAUAUAUAGCCAUUUUCACACAUGAACUCUGGACUAUGGCUCUGUUCAGACUUGGCAUUAACAAGCGUCCUGGAAAAUCUGAACACAAGUAGCCAGCUCUAAGAGCACGCGGUCACACCUGGCAUUAAAAUGCAUAUCCAAAUGCGUCCUGAGUGAUCGGAUCUGACCUCUCCCACUCUAUAUGCAAAUUAACAUGUACAUCAUUUCCACUUUUGUGUCUUUAUCAUCAUAGAUCAUGUGGAAAAUUAGGCUGAUAUGAUUCACGCAUAAGGGUGGUUGGGCAUUAAUUUAUUCUAAUAAAGACUGCUGCAUGCAGUUCUUGCCAUCACCACUGAAGCAUGACGAUGCAGUAAACGUCACUUUAAUUCAAAAGUCACCAAAUCACUAUCUUGAUCAAGUCAGUUGUCUUAAAACUAAAAAAGAACCACAUUCCUCACACAGUUUAUUUUGGCUGCAUAUCAUAUGGUGUCAAAAAGAAAACAAGGCACCAUUUUAUGGCGCACCGAGUGCAGCGUAAUCUCCACUCACUAUUGUCUAAAUCACCCACGUCCCCAGUUAUUUUUUGUUGCCAAAUUUUUUACUGGUGUCUGUUAUGAUUACAUGCACAAAGCCUACAUGAAAACUAUUGUUGUCCAGUACAUUUCUGCUGUCAAUUUGCCUGGUGAAGAUUAUUUCAACUGCAAAGGAAGCCAUUCCAUCAUUCUGCAAGCUGUUGGGGAUCACUGUCGGUUAGUAGCACACACAUACCCAGUGAUAGAAGCUAUGCAAAUGUCCUCUGCUGUAUGUCUUUUCAGUUAUAAUGUAUAAAUAGCGCAAAAACAUAUAUGUUAACAAGCCAACGGUGUUAGUUUAGUAGUCGUUCCCUCAAUCCAUCCCAGGACACAUUGAUGCUCAGACUAAAAAGAGAAUGUGGACACAAGUGUCCCAGACCACUUCUGAAUUCAUGCCGAACAAUCAGGUUUGAAUCCAUCCUGGAGUGUGUUCAGACCUGGCAGGAGGUGGGACAUGAUAUGGUCAGGUAGCUAUUUUGCAAUUUGAUCAUAAACAACCAAGUCUCUUGCCUUUUCUGAUGAUUCUGGCACCAGUUCUUAAUGACAGAAGUUUGUAAAUCACAUUGUGUCUCCACUUAGAUAUUUUCGUUGGUGUCUUCAUUGUAAAUGACCAUUUUAUUUCACCAUUGACUGUAUUCCUCCAGCUUCGCACAGGUCAAAUGAUAGAACGCCAUCAACAAGGCCAUGCCUCCAUGCCAGUGACAGCCACAGCAGGGGACAUCAGGUUUUGUCUGUCCGGCCCAUUCUUGUAAACUCGAUAUGUCACCUUGAGAGAAUUUCUUCAAAUUUGUGUCCACUUGGACACAAGAAUGAAAUGAUGAACUGGAAGCAGUAAUUCUAGGUCCAUCAUGUUUUUGGAUUACAAUGAUACCUCCUUGGAUCACUGAUGAUAGUUACCACUGGUAAUCAGGAGCUAUCAACAAGUCUUGUCAGUCACUCAGGUUUUUACACUGGUCCAUUUCUCCCAUAUCAAAGACAAUGAGCAAGAACUGACUCUUCACUUACUGUCUUAUAUACACCUUGACAAGCAUGAUUGUUACAAGAUAAUCAGUGAUAUUUGUUGCAUCUGUGAGUGAUAAUAAUGUUUUGGCUCACUGGUAUAUGAAACUGUAAAAGAUAUUUAAAUUUGAUAAACAGUGGCGUUUGACUGUUUCUCUCAGUGUAGGAAUUGUAUUGCAUCAAUCGUGCUGCAAUUAGGUAAUUUCAAAUCCAUUUAAUAAAAGCACAAUUUAAUAGGUUUAACAAUUAUGCUAACCCUUUAGAAGUGAGUGCUGGCCAAAGUGUUGUCAGUGGUCUAAACAAGAGUAGGAGUACAAGAACACACACACACACACACACACACACACACACACACAAAGAAGACAGGGUACACACUAUAUAUUUUCAGAAAAUCAGGAUAUCUGUACAUGAGCACAUGCUUAAAAAUGCACAGUCGCACUGUGUAAAUCCUCAGUGUCUGUCUCUACUCCCUUGUGACCCCAUCUAGCUGCUCCUCACUUUUUUUUGACACAUCAGAUGAAGAAGAGGGUGGCAUCGGUGGGAGGAGGUGGAGGCGAGCCAGUCGUCCUAUCGGGCGCCACAUUUCUCACUCGGUUAACACCUCGCUGGAGAAACAGGAUGCCAGGCUUGGACCCAACCCCCACCCCCCCAGCUUCAUCCAGCUAAACACACACUUAAUGUAUUUGUGACACUAAAGACAGUGUUUCACUUUCAUGUUACCCUUAUCCUUUCAAUGAGUCUUCCUUGACCUUUAAUCUACUUUUACUAAAGUUUAGCUGCUCCAAACUCUCUGAACUUCACAGAUCAGAUCCCAUGUAUUUAAAUGUUUUUAAUCAGCUUUCUUUUAUAAACAAGUCAUGCUGAUCCUUUCUCUAUUUGUUCUUGGCAACUUGUUUCUGAAAGCUGCCUGAUAAGAAGACCUAUGGGGAAUUUGUCCAACUGGGUAACUUAGUAAUACAGUAAGUGACUGGACAUGGUGGGAACAUAGACACCGAAACAGGCAUUUUCUAUGGCAAAUUAUAUGUCUGUGGUAGUCCAAACCAUGACCUUUUCUUAAUCUUAACCAAAAUGAUAGAGUCUAAACCUCAUGGAACACAGGAUGCAAACUCGAUACUUGGGUGUCAAAGUUAAGAACUCUGAGGGUGCUGGAUUUUGUUGAGUAAAAUUGUGUUUCUGGUGAAUGUAAUCCAUGCAGCUGUUAGGUUAUUUUUUAGUUAGAUAGAUAUUCAGAGAUUUGUUGUCU